AAUCCAUAUGCUCCAUGAUAUACAUUCUUGGUACAAUGACCUGCACAAAAGUUAAGUCAUUCAACAAGUUAAUUUUUAAUCAAUAACAAUACAAAUUGGUUCCUACCCAUUGCACUUGAAUGCAAGAGAAUGAACUUUUCUUAUGAUAAAGGGUAAUAAAACCACCUUCAUUAUUGAAUGGUACCUUCCUAUCAAAUGACUUUAGAUCCCUUGAAAGUUGUUUGACUUUAUUACUGCCUCUUAUGAGCAAGAACUUUCCAAUACAAAACAAAUAAAAAAAAUUAUCACGCUAAUUGCCUAUGCAAAUCAAUAUUAAGUGGAAGCUUAGGUUAACAUAUCUCCUGUAGCUUCUUUUUUUUAACAGCUCAAUAGUAUUAUUAAAUAGCUCUCAACGAAUAAUACUUUAUUCUAAUACAAUAAAAAUUUAAACAGUUUUCUGUUACCCUGUUUUUGUUCUUCACUUAUCAUAUCAUCAUCUUUCUGUUUUAGUAACUCAAUACAUAAGGAAAAAAACAAUUUCUCCCAAUUGCUAAGAGAAGAGAUAUAAAACUAAUUAAAUGACAGAUAAAGGAAAAAAACUUUAAUUUCACAUACCGUUUGAUGGUUCACGAUAUUACCUUUAGGAAUUUUGGCAGCAUCUUUAACAAGCUCCGUCCCAACACACGUCAUGCCAGAAGAUAGAAUAAAGUAAACACAUAUUUUCAGAAAAUUUGUAACUCCUUUCUGAAUCUACAAUAAACCAAAAGAUAGAAUAGAGUAAAAAUAGUAACAUAUAAACUUGUAGCAAAGACAACACAUGAACAAGAGUAUGUAAAAAUUAAAUACCUCGAAGGGAGAGAAAGUCAUAACAAUUGUUUUAUUACGCGCAUUAGCAUUACGUCCUCUAGACGCCAUAGUCUUUAUUUUGGCUUUAACAUGGAAAUGAACCAUUACUGAUAAAACUCAUCAAAGAAGACAUCUAUACCUGAGAUGCCAUAUAAAUGAAGAAUUCUACACAGUACGUAAUCAUCUUUUAUGUAUGAUAAUGACCUGAGAAAACAACAUAAGAAUCUCUGAACUUGUGUAAAAUCACCUAUAACAUGUUGGUAUAUUAAUCAUUGGAGGAAAACAAAAAUCAUUAGAUUUCUAGAGUUGAAAAGUGCCAAUUCUUUUU
rnacentral:lncRNA from 1 species